rnacentral:rRNA from 1 species
AAAGGUAAGCUACUAAGAGCGAAUGGUGGAUGCCUUGACUGGUAAAGGCGAUGAAGGACGUACUAGACUGCGAUAAGCUACGGGGAGCUGUCAAGAAGCUUUGAUCCGUAGAUUUCCGAAUGGGGCAACCCAAUGUAUAGAGAUAUACAUUACCUAUAUAGGAGCGAACGAGGGGAAUUGAAACAUCUUAGUACCCUCAGGAAAAGAAAUCAAUAGAGAUUGCGUCAGUAGCGGCGAGCGAAAGCGCAAGAGGGCAAACCCAGUGCUUGCACUGGGGGUUGUAGGACUGCAAUGUGCAAGAGGUAAGUUUAGCAGAACAUUCUGGAAAGUAUAACCAUAGAGGGUGAUAGUCCCGUAUGCGAAAAACAAACCUUAGCUAGCAGUAUCCUGAGUAGGGCGGGACACGAGGAAUCCUGUCUGAAUCCGGGUCGACCACGA